UUAAAAAUGCCUACAAAUUUAUCAAACUGAUCUGAGUUAAUGUGAAAUAAACAAGGACACUGGUUCACGGUUGAAGUUUCUUCGGCUGCGUCCGAAAGCUCAGCCGGUGACCUGCUCUCGACGGAUCCUCACGAAACUGACUUCUGAGGCAGAUGAGCGCUUUAAUUACCUACAACAACAACAUCUGAGAGAACAAGAGAAAACGAAUUCUUUCCACUUCAGUCCCAGAAGACGUCUGCAGCGGAGCGUCUCCUCUUCAGAGCCGGAGGUGCUGUCUGAGAUCGGACCUGAUCUGCAGAGCCCGGCUCACACUGCUCCUCAAUCAGCCUUCGCUUCGCUUCUUUCAUUCAGCUGAAUAUGAAGAAUGCAUGUGAUGUGUCCUUCGCAACUCACCCACAAUGAAGCGGUCCUCCACAAACCCGGCCUAGGAGCAGCUACAGGACAGAGUUAAAGAUCAUCACAGAGAGAGAGGAGGAUGAAGGGUGACACGAACUAAAGCUGUUCACUUCGGCUUCAUCUCCCGUUACAGCGGUGCUGUCGUCCUGCAACUACACCUGUGCACAGAAUCAGGAGCGAAGCGUCCAUCAGUGCGAGCUUUCUCCAGACGAGUGCACCGGCCGAGCACAACCGCCGUCCAGACUAAUGAGUCUAAUGACACUAAUGAGACCAGAGCUGUGAGAUCAGUCUGUGUUUGCACUGCUCUUCACUCCGGAAACAUGGGGUUUCUGGAAACUGAUCAAUAUUUUGUCAUUUCCAUGCCCAGGUAACGAAGCAAACAUCACUGUUUGUCCCCAUUUACUGCUAUAUUCAUCUGAC